GUGCAGGGUGAACUGCCCAGCUCGUGGGUACCCGGGGAUGAGCUAGUGACACCGCAGCAAGGACGGUUCACAGUGGUUGUGGUUGUAUCAAGAUAUACAUCAUGUACUAUGGAAUUUGAUCUUUGAAGUUGUAUAAUCCAAUGAUUUGAUGGAUAUUUAAAGGGUUGUGCAACCUUCAAUAUCAUCUAAGUUUGGAAUAUUUAAAUCAACCCCUCAUGCUCACCUACGCACACACCAAUACAUCAUUGUUUUCAGCAUAUAAAUCUUGAACUUGCCAGGCGUGGUU